rnacentral:rRNA from 1 species
UACAGAGGUGGCAAGCGUUGUUCGGAAUUACUGGGCGUAAAGGCGCGUAGGCGCCUUCUAAGUCAGACGUGAAAUCCCCGGCUUAACCUGGGAACUGCGUCUGAUACUGGGAGGCUUGAGUAUGGGAGAGGGAUGUAGAAUUCCAGGUGUAGCGGUGAAAUGCGUAGAUAUCUGGAGGAAUACCGGUGGCGAAGGCGGCAUCCUGGACCAUUACUGACGCUGGAGGCGCGAAAAGCUGAGGGGGAGCAAACGGGG